rnacentral:rRNA from 1 species
UACGUAGGGAGCAAGCGUUGUCCGGAAUCAUUGGGCGUAAAGGGUGUGUAGGCGGUUCUUUAAGUUUGGUGUGAAAUCUCCCGGCUCAACUGGGAGGUGCGCCGAAUACUGAGGGACUAGAGUACGGGAGAGGAAAGUGGAAUUCCUGGUGUAGCGGUGAAAUGCGCAGAUAUCAGGAGGAACACCAGCGGCGAAGGCGGCGCUCUGGGCCGGUACUGACACUGAGGAGCGAAAGCGUGGGUAGCAAACAGG